GACGAACGCUGGCGGCGUGCUUAACACAUGCAAGUCGAACGGAAAGGCCCUGCUUUUGUGGGGUGCUCGAGUGGCGAACGGGUGAGUAACACGUGAGUAACCUGCCCUUGACUUUGGGAUAACUUCGGGAAACUGGGGCUAAUACCGGAUAGGAGCUCCUGCUGCAUGGUGGGGGUUGGAAAGUUUCGGCGGUUGGGGACGGACUCGCGGCUUAUCAGCUUGUUGGUGGGGUAGUGGCUUACCAAGGCUUUGACGGGUAGCCGGCCUGAGAGGGUGACCGGCCACAUUGGGACUGAGAUACGGCCCAGACCCCUACGGGAGGCAGCAGUGGGGAAUAUUGCACAAUGGGCGGAAGCCUGAUGCAGCAACGCCGCGUGCGGGAUGACGGCCUUCGGGUUGUAAACCGCUUUCGCCUGUGACGAAGCGUGAGUGACGGUAAUGGGUAAAGAAGCACCGGCUAACUACGUG
rnacentral:rRNA from 1 species